rnacentral:rRNA from 1 species
UACGUAGGGCGCAAGCGUUGUUCGGAAUUAUUGGGCGUAAAGAGCUCGUAGGCGGCUUGUCACGUCGGUUGUGAAAGCCCGGGGCUUAACCCCGGGUCUGCAGUCGAUACGGGCAGGCUAGAGUGUGGUAGGGGAGAUCGGAAUUCCUGGUGUAGCGGUGAAAUGCGCAGAUAUCAGGAGGAACACCGGUGGCGAAGGCGGAUCUCUGGGCCAUUACUGACGCUGAGGAGCGAAAGCGUGGGGAGCGAACAGG